rnacentral:misc_RNA from 1 species
GAUGAAGAACGUAGCGAAAUGCGAUAAGUAAUGUGAAUUGCAGAAUUCAGUGAAUCAUCGAAUCUUUGAACGCACAUUGCGCCCCUUGGUAUUCCGAGGGGCAUGCCUAUUCGAGCGUCAUUAUAACCCCUCAAGCUCAGCUUGGUGUUGGGGCCUGCCGCACGGGCAGCCCUUAAAAUCAGUGGCGGUGCCAUCUGGCUCUAAGCGUAGUAAUUCUUCUCGCUAUAGAGUUCCGGUGGAUGCUUGCCAUUAACCCCCAAUUUUCUAUGGUUGACCUCGGAUCAGGUAGGGAUACCCGCUGAACUUAAGCAUAUCAAUAAGCGGAGGA